rnacentral:rRNA from 1 species
CCCAGCAGCCACCUGUAGUUCAGACUAGGUAAUCAACCUGAAGCCAAGCAGGUUUGAGCCUGGCCAGUACUUGGAUGGGAGACCAACUAGGAAAGUGAGUUGUUGCUGGAA